rnacentral:rRNA from 1 species
AUAACUCGAUAAUCCACGAAUACUCAACCUUCUCUAGAAAUCCAGCAUGUGUACUGCCGUUGUAAGCAUACCUCUAAAAGAAUAAGUAUGCCACUAUGACUAUAACUCAUAUACAUCAGGUCAAAGUGCAGCUAAUGAAAAGGUGAUGAUGGGUUACAACCCAAAAAUAGACUAUCAAUCAAGAAAUAAAAAAUCUUAAGAAAGUGGACUUGGCUGUAAUCAAUUUACAAGUUAAAAUAAUGAAUAAAAAUCUAAGACAUGCACACAUCGCCCGUCACUCUACCCUAAAGGGUAGAUAAGUCGUAACAAAGUAGGUGUAAUGGAAAUUGCACCUGUCGAAGUAUAGCAUAUAAAAUGCCCUCUACUUACACUAGAAUUAAAGUUGUUAACUUACUUCGCCCACAAAAAUAAACCCUACAAGCCAAAAAUAAUACAAACACCUAUAAAGUUAAAUAAUUAAUAAAGUACAGAAAUGGAAACAAAAAUAAACAAUAGUAAAUUUUAAUAACUGUACCUUGUGCAUUAUGGUUUUACAAGAAAUUAAUUAAACAUAUAUAUCCCGAAUUCUAAAUGAGAUGCUAAACUGCUGUUAAGAACCCAUCAAUAUCUGUAGAAAAAGAUUUAAAAGACAGUUUAACAGAGGCUACAUACCAUCCGCAUAAGAAUAUAGCUGGUUUUCAACAAACAUUAUACAUUAAAACAUAUAAUUAUAUUAUAGUGUAAUAUUAUUGAGGAUAAGCCCAAUAAUUUUAGCAAUAAUCAUAAAUUUCAUUAUACAUCAAUAGGCCUAAAAUCAGCCAACUAAAGUACUUUACCGUAUAAAAUAUAGAUAAAAUUUAUAAAGAAAGUAAUGCCAAAUAAAGUUGAAACAACCGAUAAACUAAUUUAAUCCGCUUAUAUUAUGUAAAAAUAAGUAUUAUAAAAUUAAGUCUACACUAAUCUAGUAAAUACAACAAAUAAAUAAAAAUAAUUAAUUAAGGAACUCGGCAAACCAUUAUUUCGACUGUUUAACAAAAACAUUGUCCCAUGAAUAAAAUAUGGGAU